UUCUUUCUAUUUUUACCUUUCCUCCCACCCCACCUUUUUCCUCGUGGUAACGUGGAAGUGUGCAAGUCAACACAUCAGCAGAAGUCCCAGCUGGAAAUACGAACGCCCGAAGUUAAUUACAAGCCUGCCAAAAACGCGGCGAGUUUUAACGGCGACUAACGGCCUUGCUGGGGCUGUUUCACCAAUUUGUGUCCCCCCAGUGAUCAAGUACCGGGUGACAGUGUGCACGGGCACGGUGAGUGGCAGUGGCACGGACGCCAACGUCUUCGUCUGCCUCAUCGGCGACCAGGGCGACACGGGCGAGCGCGUCCUCUACAACUGCAUCAACACCGUCAACAAAUUCGAGAAAGGCAACUUGUGGAGGGCGUGCAAUGACAUGGCAGAUUUAAAAUGCUGGUGGAUCAUAUAUUUACAAAUCUAACCUUGCACAUCUAGCACAAAUAUCCAGGCUUUUUAUUCUUUGGUAAAUUUGUACAUUCUACUUCAUCUUGUGAAGA
rnacentral:lncRNA from 12 species